UCUAAAUCCCAUUUCUAUUCUAUUAUUAUUACUACUACAAAAAUAGUAAUAAAAACAAACAUUUAAAUAAUAUCUAAUAAAUACCAACUAUUCUUCUAAGAACUUGACAUGUAUAAACUCAUUUAAGCUUCAACUCUGUGAAAUAGUGUAUCAGUUAUGUAUUGCCACAAUAAUGCUAUAUAGCAAACUACCCCAAAACAUAAAACUGUAAAAACAUAAUUACAAUAGACCUUUUUAUCCUUUCUCACAAGCCGCUGUUUUUGCUGAUCUGGGCCAAGUUCAAAAGACAUUGACUUGGCCCACUCACCUGUGGACAGUCAGCUGCCUUGUUGGAUGGGUGCUGGGAGUAUAGGAUGGCCUCAGUUAGGACUGCUUGGCUGUUCUCUAGAAGUUCUCUCAUUUUCACAAUGCUAGCCUGGACUUAUUUCCAUUGCCACAGGAGGGUUCUAACAGAGAGAAAGAGAGCAGAAGCAGGCAAUGCUUCUUAAAGCCUAGGUUUGGAAUGCACACUGUUACUUCCCACAUAUGGUAUUGGACAGAGCAAGUGAAAACACCUAGUGCCAAGAGUAUGCAUCCAGGAAGGGGUAAAGAACAGGACUAGUUUUGCCACUUUUUAAGGUAUUAUUAUUAAUCCUUAUUUUAGAAGAAACUGAUAUAUAGAGGAGUUAAGCAACUUGCUCAAGGUCAUGGACUAAUGAAACAAUGGCACUAGUAUUUAAAUACUGUCAGUCUGGUUUCAUUCUGUGCUGUUAACUUCUACAUGGUGCUGUCUCUCAGUUGAAGGAACGAUAAAGGAGGAAAGGCAAAAGGCAACAAAUGGGCUUUGAAGUAACUCUACAGAGAUAAUUAAAAGACCACAUAAAAGAAGGAAAACGUAUCUUACUUCAGGAAUUCAACACUAAGAAUCCUACUCCCUUCGUGAAAUCAGAAAAUGUUUGCAUGAACCCUGUGGGCCUUUGAAAGAGAGAAGGCAUACUGUUGAUGGUCACCAACUUACUGAAGCCUGCAGCUUGCAGGAACCCAUCUCAUCAGAGUAACUGAAAGAGGACACAGUAUCCAAAAACAAAAACAACAAAAGUCAUGUGCUGGGAUAAGUUCUUGAUAGUGUGAAUAGUCAGGAAAAAAUGUUCUGAAACUUCUUGUCCCAGCUGCGAUAUUAACUGUGAAUUUCGUCAUAUGGUUGAUUAAGUUGCUUUAUAAGACUAAAUUUUUAUAAGAUGUGUACAUAGGAAUAUGACUUCCCUCUCCUAAGUUAACAUAACAAGUAUUCCCAAAUGUGUUGUGAAGUCGACAUUCUUGUUCUAAUUUAUAGUUGUAUUGCUCCCUGCAAUAGCAUCUUCUUUCAUUUCCCAGUCCCCAGUUUUUCCAUUUUGUUUACAGUAGCCAGAGAAAUCUAUCAAGAUGCACAUUUGAUCACAGCAUCCUUCGGUAAAUCACCAUUAUCUUCAUACUGACAAAGGUCAGUCUUUAAGGACCUUUAUCAGGUGUCCUCUCUUUAGUUCCCCAACCUAUUUCUUACCAUCCUUUAUCCCCCAGCUAGAUAACUUGGAGAAUUGCAAGUGCGUCAUCCACUGUAUUAGUCUGUUCUCACAUUGCUAACAAAGACAUACCUGAGACUGGGGAAUUUAUAAAGGAAAGAGGUUUAAUGGACUCACAGUUCCACAGGGCUAGGGAGGCUUCACAAUCAUGGCAGAAGACAAAGCAAGAGCAAAGGGAAGUCUUAUAUGGCAGCAGGCAAGAGAGCUUGUGCAGGGGGAUCUCCUGUUUAUAAAACCAUCAGAUCUUGGGAGAUGUGUUCAAUACCAUGAGAACAGUGUGGGGGAAACCACCCCCAUGAUGCCAUUAUCUCCACUUGUCUCUGUCCUUGACACAUGGGAAUUAUUAUAAUUCUAGGUGAGAUUUGGGUGGGGACACAGAGCCAAACAAUAUCAUCCACCUUCAUGUCUCUUUCUCUUUACUCACCUGCUUUCUUGACAAGAAAUAUCUUCAUCAGCCCUUCCUUCCUUCCCUCCCUCCCUCCCUCCUUUCUUUCUUUCUUGCUUGCUUGCUUUUCCUUCCUUUUUCUUCUUUAUUUCCUUUGCCAAUUUGAGAGAUUGGCAAGGAGAGUAAUGCUGGAAUUGGAGACACAUAUAGCUAAUACCAGCCAAAAUAACUGUGAGCAGAAGUGAUAUGCCUUCUGAGCCAAGGCAGAGAAAAGAUUAUAUGUGAUUCUCAGACCUCUUCUCAUCCUCAUUGGCUCAGAAGGGCAUAGGUCCCAGAUGGAACAGCUAUAAGUUAAUGGGGCCUUCCUCCAUUUGGAUCCCUAAGUAACUGAAAUGGAGCCCCUCUCCAACCUGUGAUAAACUUGUACUACAAAGGAGAACUCAAUUUUCUUGUGCUAAAAUACUGAGAUUUGGAAAUUAAUGUGUGCUGCAUUAUAACCUAGGUUAUUAUAAAGAUAUUAUUGCAAAUUACUUUUAAUAUUAAUUUUUGUCAUUAUUGGUGAAUUUGAAGUUUCAUAUAAUUAUUGAACACUUAUAUGUCAUUUAUAUAUUUAUUAUACUUAGUUCUUUGGCAAAAUGCUGUUUAUGUCCUUUGCCUAUUUUUCUACUAGACUGUUUAUGUUGAUUUAUAAAACAUUUAUAUAUUAGGCUACAGUAACCCUUUCAUGUCAUUGGUACUGUUUCCAGUUUAUUAACUGCCUUUUAUUAUCACUUUAUGAUGUAUUUUAUGUCCAAAGGUUUGAAAAUUAUAUACUGAGUAAUCUAUAAUUAUUUAAAAAUUUUGUUCUUAUUUUAUGAGAAAGGCCUUCUAAAAUCUGAUAGGUUGGUUUUUCUCUGGAUAUACUAUUUUCUAUUUUUUAAAACAUGAAAUUCUAUACUCCAUUAUGAUUUAUGUUGUUGCAUGCUAUCUGGUCGGAAUAUAGCUUUGUAAUGAAUACAUUCAUCUUAAAACUGACUUGGCUCUUUCUCCUAAAUUAAAAAGACAACUCUGA
rnacentral:lncRNA from 1 species